UACGGGGGGGGCAAGCGUUGUUCGGAAUUACUGGGCGUAAAGGGCUCGUAGGCGGCCAAUUAAGUCAGACGUGAAAUCCCUCGGCUUAACCGGGGAACUGCGUCUGAUACUGGAUGGCUUGAGUUUGGGAGAGGGAUGCGGAAUUCCAGGUGUAGCGGUGAAAUGCGUAGAUAUCUGGAGGAACACCGGUGGCGAAGGCGGCAUCCUGGACCAACACUGACGCUGAGGAGCGAAAGCCAGGGGAGGCAAACGGG
rnacentral:rRNA from 1 species